UACGUAGGGCGCAAGCGUUGUCCGGAAUUAUUGGGCGUAAAGAGCUCGUAGGCGGUUUGUUGCGUCGGCUGUGAAAUCCCGAGGCUCAACCUCGGGUCUGCAGUCGAUACGAGCAAACUAGAGUGUUGCAGGGGAGACUGGAAUUCCUGGUGUAGCGGUGAAAUGCGCAGAUAUCAGGAGGAACACCGGUGGCGAAGGCGGGUCUCUGGGCCGAUACUGACGCUGAGGAGCGAAAGCGUGGGGAGCGAACAGG
rnacentral:rRNA from 1 species